UACCUACGGGAGGCAGCAGUGGGGAAUAUUGCACAAUGGGGGAAACCCUGAUGCAGCGACGCCGCGUGAGUGAAGAAGUAUUUCGGUAUGUAAAGCUCUAUCAGCAGGAACGAGACAAGACGGUACCUGAAGAAGAAGCCCCGGCUAACUACGUGCCAGCAGCCGCGGUAAUACGUAGGGGGCAAGCGUUAUCCGGAUUUACUGGGUGUAAAGGGGGCGCAGACGGCGAUGCAAGCCAGGAGUGAAAGCCCGGGGCCCAACCCCGGGACUGCUCUUGGAACUGCGUGGCUGGAGUGCAGGAGGGG
rnacentral:rRNA from 1 species